GCCUUGCGCUUCCUAGGCAAGCGCUCUACCACUGAGCUAAAUCCCCAGCCCCGCUAAUUUUUAACAUAGCAAUGGAAGACCAGUGAUUAAAGUUGCUGCUGACGCCAUUCCUGCCGAUUGCCUCAGAGGAAGCCACCAUAUUGGAAUUCAUAUGAGGGGUCACCCCCAAGCUCCUUAUAAUACUCCCACUCAGCCAGCCCCAGUGGAGACUCUCAGAACAGAAACCUGAAGCUGUCCGUCUGUCUAAACCGCAUGCCUUCUGGGGAAUGCGCAUGUCAAGCUAUCAAGUACAAAUCCUAAGUUGGUGGCACUGUUUGGGGACACUUAGAAGGUGCAGCCCUGCUGGAGGAAAUAUGUCACUGGAGGUGGAUUUUGAGAACGUGAACCCUCACCUACUUCUUCAUGCUUGUGGCUUGAGAUGUAAGUUCUGUAUCAUGCCGCCCUGUCUGCUCCCA
rnacentral:sRNA from 1 species